rnacentral:tRNA from 1 species
GCCUUCGCGGUGUAACGGUAGCAUAUUCGACGCCUAUUCGAGAGGUCCAAGUUCGAAUCCUGGUAAGGGCA